rnacentral:rRNA from 1 species
GACGAACGCUGGCGGCGUGCUUAACACAUGCAAGUCGAACGGAAAGGCCCUGCUUUUGUGGGGUGCUCGAGUGGCGAACGGGUGAGUAACACGUGAGUAACCUGCCCUUGACUUUGGGAUAACUUCAGGAAACUGGGGCUAAUACCGGGUAGGAGCUCCUGCUGCAUGGUGGGGGUUGGAAAGUUUCGGCGGUUGGGGAUGGACUCGCGGCUUAUCAGCUUGUUGGUGGGGUAGUGGCUUACCAAGGCUUUGACGGGUAGCCGGCCUGAGAGGGUGAACGGCCACAUGGGGACUGAGAUACGGACCAGACUGCUACGGGAGGCAGCAGUGGGGAGUAUUGCACAAUGGGCGGAAGCCUGAUGCAGCAACGCCGCGUGCGGGAUGACGGCCUUCGGGUUGUAAACCGCUUUCGCCUGUGACGAAGCGUGAGUGACGGUAAUGGGUAAAGAAGCACCGGCUAACUACGUG